rnacentral:lncRNA from 1 species
UCUCCCCUUCACAGCAAACACUCUAAACUCUCUCCCUCUCUCAUUUCUCUCUUUCUCUCUCUAGAGAUCUUGCCCUAGAGCAAGGAGGAGGAGGAAAAGAAGGUGUUGAAGGAGAUUUUGGUGGUUCUAGGAGCUCUCCCACAAGGAGGACUUAGUAGAGCUUGGGAUUAGAGGUGAGUUCUUGCAAGAUUACUUCUAGG